AAGAGGCGCUAGGGGUGCCCUUUGGCUGAGAGACCUAUGUCAACCCUUUAGACUCGAUCUGGAUAAUGCCAGCGAGAGGAAGUGCCAAGUUCGGGGA
rnacentral:ncRNA from 2 species